AACGCAUCUUGCACUCAUUGGUAUUCCAAUGAGUACGCCUGUUUCAGUAUCAAAAACACCCCACAUUCAAAACUUGUGUUUGAAUGGAAUUGAGGGCAAACGGCUUUACUGCUGUUCCCUUUAAAACUAUUAGGCCUGAAUUUGUCUGUUCUGCCUGAACUUUUUUUUAAUAUAAAGGAAAGCUCUUGCUAAUAAGACUCUCUUGGGGCCUCUCAAAUAAAUCUUUCUUAAAUUUGAUCUGAAAUCAGGCGGGAUUACCCGCUGAACUUAA
rnacentral:misc_RNA from 3 species